UACAGAGGGUGCAAACGUUGUUCGGAAUUACUGGGCGUAAAGCGCGUGUAGGCUGCUUCGCAAGUCGGAUGUGAAAGCCCUGGGCUCAACCCAGGAAGUGCAUUCGAAACUGCAAAGCUGGAGUCCUGGAGAGGAAGGCGGAAUUCUCGGUGUAGAGGUGAAAUUCGUAGAUAUCGAGAGGAACACCGGUGGCGAAGGCGGCCUUCUGGACAGUGACUGACGCUGAGACGCGAAAGCGUGGGGAGCGAACAGG
rnacentral:rRNA from 1 species